GACGAACGCUGGCGGCGUGCUUAACACAUGCAAGUCGAACGGAAAGGCCCUGCUUUUGUGGGGUGCUCGAGUGGCGAACGGGUGAGUAACACGUGAGUAACCUGCCCUUGACUUUGGGAUAACUUCAGGAAACUGGGGCUAAUACCGGAUAGGAGCUCCUGCUGCAUGGUGGGGGUUGGAAAGUUUCGGCGGUUGGGGAUGGACUCGCGGCUUAUCAGCUUGUUGGUGGGGUAGUGGCUUACCAAGGCUUUGACGGGUAGCCGGCCUGAGAGGGUGAACGGCCACAUUGGGACUGAGAUAGGGCCCAGACUCCUACGGGAGGCAGCAGUGGGGAAUAUUGCACAAUGGGCGGAAGCCUGAUGCAGCAACGCCGCGUGCGGGAUGACGGCCUUCGGGUUGUAAACCGCUUUCGCCUGUGACGAAGCGUGAGUGACGGUAAUGGGUAAAGAAGCACCGGCUAACUACGUG
rnacentral:rRNA from 1 species